CGCCUCUCCCCUCCUCUCUCUCCUUACUUCCUCUCUCUCUCUUCUUCUUCAACCAAAGCAGCCAAUCGACAGACUCCUUUCACCUUUCACAGACCAUGCAUGGCCAAAUGUGGGAAAGAAAUUAAUGUUUGUACCCCUCCCUCCGUCAGUGUUCAACCGUUGAAAGAGAUCGAUUCUCGUCUUCUUCUUGGUUGUCUGUUGACAAUCUGAAACGGUUUUAAUUGAUUUUGUUCAUUUGUGAAAUUGAAACCUCUGUCUUAUCAGUUCCUUUUUCAUAUUUCGGGUACAAGUUUUAAUGGGUUUUUGUUCUUUUCUUCGUGGUCUCUGAUGGUUGUCAUAGCAAAUCUGAACGUUGUUGACCAAAGAAUCCCGCCCAAUUUUUAGUUUUGAAACCCUAGCAAACCCUAGAUCUUCCCCCUAUAAAUAAUCGUUUCUGGGUUCGUUUAUGAGGAGGUCUUUUUCGGAGCGGCGGAAAUCCCUUGAAAUUGCUAGUCCUUGAGCCGCACAAAAUUCCCCUAGAAAAAUAAGGUCUGGAGCCGCAAAAAUCCCCCCUAAAAAUAUAUCAGUUUGUAGUAGUCAUAUAUUUUGGUGAUUGAUAAGAAAUAUACUAAAUCAUUUAUGUCCCUUUUUCGCCCUGGGUAUUGAUUCGGAUCUAUACGAACUUGGAGUGUGGUGUUCGAGUAGAUAUCGAGACCUUCGCCUCACUUCGCUGCACCCGAAGAAGCCCAACAUAAUAUUCUCGAGUCAUCCCCUAUCAGCCCAGUCCGCAGCAAAACAAAAAGGAACGGAAAUUCUGGGCCAAGGCCCAAUAGCGUGAACAGUUCUCAGCAGUCCAAAAAUGGGCUGCGCCAUUCUCAACAGUAGACUGUUCACAGCAGCCCAAAAAUGGGCUAAGCCCAUCUCAUUACAUUUUUUACACUUCUGUUUUAUGUUGUUGCAUUUAACUUGUAUUAUGUGACUAACUUUUUAUUUUGUUUUAUUUUCUUAAUUUAGGUGAACCUUAGCAAAUUUAGUGGGUUAGCUUUAGUAUAAUGGGUAGUAAAUUUAAGAGAGAAACUCAAUUAAUACCAUAAGUUUCAUUUUCUUCUUUUUACAUUAAAGUUAUU